UACGGGGGGAGCAAGCGUUGUUCGGAUUUACUGGGCGUAAAGGGCGCGUAGGCGGUCGUGACAAGUCACUUGUGAAAUCUCCGGGCUUAACUCGGAACGGUCAAGUGAUACUGUCGGACUAGAGUACAGAAGGGGCAACUGGAAUUCUCGGUGUAGCGGUGAAAUGCGUAGAUAUCGAGAGGAACACCUGCGGCGAAGGCGGGUUGCUGGGCUGAUACUGACGCUGAGUCGCGAAGAGCCAGGGGAGCGAACGGGAUUAGAAC
rnacentral:rRNA from 1 species